rnacentral:rRNA from 1 species
UACGUAGGGAGCAAGCGUUGUCCGGAAUCAUUGGGCGUAAAGCGCGCGUAGGUGGCUUCGUAAGUCCGCUGUGAAAGUCAAAGGCUCAACCUUUGAAAGCCGGUGGAUACUGUGAAGCUAGAGUACGGAAGAGGCGAGUGGAAUUCCUGGUGUAGCGGUGGAAUGCGCAGAUAUCAGGAGGAACACCAAUAGCGAAGGCAGCUCGCUGGGACGUUACUGACACUGAGGCGCGAAAGCGUGGGGAGCGAACAGGAUAGAAA